AACGUAGGGGGCGAGCGUUAUCCGGAUUUAUUGGGCGUAAAGGGUGCGUAGGCGGUUUAUUAAGUUUAAGAUGAAAGCCCGGAGCUUAACUCCGGUUUGUCUUAAAAACUGGUAGACUAGAGUAUAGUAGAGGCAAGUGGAAUUUCUAGUGUAGCGGUUAAAUGCGUAGAUAUUAGAAGGAACACCAGUGGCGAAGGCGACUUGCUGGGCUAUUACUGACGCUGAGGCACGAAAGCGUGGGGAGCAAAUA
rnacentral:rRNA from 1 species